CGCGUAGGCGGAUUUUUAAGUCAGAGGUGAAAUGCCGAGGCUCAACCUCGGAACUGCCUUUGAAACUGGGAGUCUUGAGGUAUGGAGAGGGAAGUGGAAUUCCAGGUGUAGCGGUGAAAUGCGUAGAUAUCUGGAGGAACACCCGUGGCGAAGGCGGCUUCCUGGCCAUAUCCUGACGCUGAGGUGCGAAAGCUAGGGGAGCGAACGGGAUUAGAUACCCCGGUAGUCCUAGCCGUAAACGAUGGAUACUAGGUGUUAUAGGUAUCGACCCCUGUAGUGCCGCAGCUAACGCAUUAAGUAUCCCGCCUGGGGAGUACGACCGCAAGGUUGAA
rnacentral:rRNA from 1 species